UGCAGUCGAGCGAUGGAUGAAGAGCUUGCUCUUAUGAAGUGAGCGGCGGACGGGUGAGUAACACGUGGGUAACCUGCCAUAAGACUGGGAUAACUCCGGGAAACCGGGGCUAAUACCGGAUAAUCAUUUUGAACCGCAUGGUUCGAAAUUGAAAGGCGGCUUCGGCUGUCACUUAUGGAUGGACCCGCGUCGCAUUAGCUAGUUGGUGAGGUAACGGCUCACCAAGGCAACGAUGCGUAGCCGACCUGAGAGGGUGAUCGGCCACACUGGGACUGAGACACGGCCCAGACUCCUACGGGAGGCAGCAGUAGGGAAUCUUCCGCAAUGGACGAAAGUCUGACGGAGCAACGCCGCGUGAGUGAUGAAGGCUUUCGGGUCGUAAAACUCUGUUGUUAGGGAAGAACAAGUGCUAGUUGAAUAAGCUGGCACCUUGACGGUACCUAACCAGAAAGCCACGGCUAACUACGUGCCAGCAGCCGCGGUAAUACGUAGGUGGCAAGCGUUAUCCGGAAUUAUUGGGCGUAAAGCGCGCGCAGGUGGUUUCUUAAGUCUGAUGUGAAAGCCCACGGCUCAACCGUGGAGGGUCAUUGGAAACUGGGAGACUUGAGUGCAGAAGAGGAGAGUGGAAUCCAUGUGUAGCGGUGAAAUGCGUAGAGAUAUGGAGGAACACAGUGGCGAGGCGACUUCUGNCUGUACUGACCUGAGCGCGAAGCGUGGGAGCCACAGAUAAAUACCUGUGUCACGCGUAACAUAUCUAGUUAGAGGUUCGCCUAUCGAGUACCUAGCCCGCUGAUCGCGAGCUACUAGAUACGGCGCACGGACUGUAUACACAACUCGUGCUCGCACUAUGUUUGCAUCGUUUUUCGUG
rnacentral:rRNA from 1 species